UUAAGAAAAAAAAAAAAGACGAGCUGACGGAAGUUCCAGUUUACAGAGAAAACGGAACGAUUACUCGUUUGGACACGUUCACACGUGGCUGCACGAAAAAUAGGGCAACAGAUAAAAUCAGUAAAUUACAAUAAUGUGGUCGUCAUGUAAACUAUCUGGCAUGUAUUUGGUGUCGUGGCACAUGCUCUCAACUCCAUGCUGUUUGGCAGAUUUUAGGCUGAGCCAGCUAUCUUGACAACAAAAUAUGCCAGUUUCACUUAUGCUGGGAUUUACCCAUCACCACAGCAACAAUCUCAGUGAUGUCAUCGCUUGGAUAAACAGCAUCCCGUCUGAUUGAUUUGGAGGAACUACCGAUGUCGGUCGAGUUCUCUCUUCUUCCUCUUUCUUUAAAUCCCCUCUAUCCUCCAUUCGUGUCGUGUCGUGUCUUCAACUUUUCAGCAGAUGGAGCAAUUGUGGAUGCCUAGCCGUAUUUCCCAGGCACAAAAGAAAUAACGGAUCCUGGAUUGGUUUUGGAGCACCCAUUACGCCGAGAUCGAAUCUAUAAGGUCUGAUUGAAUUAUUAAUUCCGUUCGUGUUAUUGUGCUGCACCCGCAUUUCUUUUCGUUGGGAAAGACUGUGAUGUGUAUAAAUAAAAGAAAAAGCAGCCGGAGAAAAUGAGAACAUGUUUGACAUAUUCUAAAGAUUCCCCAUUCGCCGGAUUGAAAGGCUUCGUUAAAGUAAGAGCAGUAUACUCUCUCUCUUAGUUUCUUUUCAUUUCACUAGUAGCUACUACACUGUCUAAUAAUAAAUCACAGUCAACCUGAAUCUGAGUUGUUUAUAGCGGCUUGGAAAACCCCAUCUCUUUAUAUUUUAUCUCGACAUGUAUUCAUACAUCAAUGGAAGGGCCCCACUUUUCCCCAUUACUCAGACGAAUUUGAAACUCUGCUGCAAUCGCUCGGGAGAGACAAAUAUAUAAAACAACAAUAAUAAAUAAUAAAAUAAUUAUAAUAUCCUUUAGGUCAGGCAACUGAUGAUAUGCAAUUUAUCACAAUUUAUUCGACCAAAAUCGAUUGUUUAUUCAAAAUCAACUGCAAUGACAAACAUGACUUUUA